rnacentral:rRNA from 1 species
GACGAACGCUGGCGGCGUGCUUAACACAUGCAAGUCGAACGGAUCAAGGGAGCUUGCUUCCUUGGUUAGUGGCGAACGGGUGAGUAACACGUGAGCAAUCUGCCCUUGACUCUGGGAUAACUGCGGGAAACUGUAGCUAAUACCGGAUACGACGCGCGAAGGCAUCUUCUGCGUGUGGAAAGAAUUUCGGUCAGGGAUGAGCUCGCGGCCUAUCAGCUUGUUGGGAGGUAAUGGCUCACCAAGGCGACGACGGGUAGCCGGCCUGAGAGGGUGACCGGCCACACUGGGACUGAGACACGGCCCAGACUCCUACGGGAGGCAGCAGUGGGGAAUAUUGCACAAUGGGCGAAAGCCUGAUGCAGCAACGCCGCGUGAGGGACGACGGCCUCGG